rnacentral:rRNA from 1 species
CGAGGGGCAGCAUGAACUUAGCUUGCUAAGUUUGAUGGCGACCGGCGCACGGGUGAGUAACACGUAUCCAACCUGCCGAUGACUCGGGGUUAGCCUUUCGAAAGAAAGAUUAAUACCCGAUGGCAUAGUUCUUCCGCAUGGUAGAAUUAUUAAAGAAUUUCGGUCAUCGAUGGGGAUGCGUUCCAUUAGGUUGUUGGCGGGGUAACGGCCCACCAAGCCUUCGAUGGAUAGGGGUUCUGAGAGGAAGGUCCCCCACAUUGGAACUGAGACACGGUCCAAACUCCUACGGGAGGCAGCAGUGAGGAAUAUUGGUCAAUGGACGAGAGUCUGAACCAGCCAAGUAGCGUGAAGGAUGACUGCCCUAUGGGUUGUAAACUUCUUUUAUACGGGAAUAAAGUGAGGCACGUGUGCCUUUUUGUAUGUACCGUAUGAAUAAGGAUCGGCUAACUCCGUGCCAGCAGCCGCGGUAAUACGGAGGAUCCGAGCGUUAUCCGGAUUUAUUGGGUUUAAAGGGAGCGUAGGCGGACGCUUAAGUCAGUUGUGAAAGUUUGCGGCUCAACCGUAAAAUUGCAGUUGAUACUGGGUGUCUUGAGUACAGUAGAGGCAGGCGGAAUUCGUGGUGUAGCGGUGAAAUGCUUAGAUAUCACGAAGAACUCCGAUUGCGAAGGCAGCCUGCUGGACUGUAACUGACGCUGAUGCUCGAAAGUGUGGGUAUCAAACAGGAUUAGAUACCCUGGUAGUCCACACAGUNAACGAUGAAUACUCGCUGUUUGCNAUAUACAGUAAGCGGCC